AACCGGAUUAGAUACCCUGGUAGUCCAUGCCGUAAACGAUGUCUACUAGCCGUUGGGGCCUUUGAGGCUUUAGUGGCGCAGCUAACGCGAUAAGUAGACCGCCUGGGGAGUACGGUCGCAAGACUAAAACUCAAAUGAAUUGACGGGGGCCCGCACAAGCGGUGGAGCAUGUGGUUUAAUUCGAUGCAACGCGAAGAACCUUACCUGGUCUUGACAUAGUAAGAACUUUCCAGAGAUGGAUUGGUGCCUUCGGGAACUUACAUACAGGUGCUGCAUGGCUGUCGUCAGCUCGUGUCGUGAGAUGUUGGGUUAAGUCCCGCAACGAGCGCAACCCUUUUCCUUAUUUGCCAGCGGGUUAAGCCGGGAACUUUAAGGAUACUGCCAGUGACAAACUGGAGGAAGGCGGGGACGACGUCAAGUCAUCAUGGCCCUUACGACCAGGGCUACACACGUGCUACAAUGGUCGGUACAAAGGGUUGCUACCUCGCGAGAGGAUGCUAAUCUCAAAAAGCCGAUCGUAGUCCGGAUUGGAGUCUGCAA
rnacentral:rRNA from 1 species